rnacentral:rRNA from 1 species
AUUGAACGCUGGCGGCAGGCCUAACACAUGCAAGUCGAACGAGUGGCGGACGGGUGAGUAAUGUCUGGGAAACUGCCCGCUGGAGGGGGAUAACUACUUGAAACGGUAGCUAAUACCGCAUACCAUCUGAUGUGCCCAGAUGGGAUUAGCUUGUAGGUGAGGUAACGGCUCACCUAGGCGACGAUCCCGAGCUGGUCUGAAAGGAUGACCAGCAACACUGGAACGGAGACACGGUCCAGCCUCCUACGGGAGGCAGAAGUGGGGAAUAUUGCCAAAUGGGCGCAAGCCUGAUGCAGCCAUGCCGCGUGUAUGAAGAAGGCCUUCGGGUUGUAAAGUACUUUCAGCGAGGAGGCGUUACCCGCAGAAGAAGCACCGGCUAACUCCGUGCCAGCCGCCGCGGUAAUUC